CAGAACCUACGGGGGGCAGCAGUGGGGGAUAUUGCACUAUGGGGGAAACCCUGAUGCAGCAACGCCGCGUGAGUGAUGACGGCCUUCGGGUUGUAAAGCUCUGUCUUCAGGGACGAAGAUGACGGUACCUGGGGAGGAAGCUCCGGCUAACUACGUGCCAGCAGCCGCGGUAAUACGUAGGGAGCGAGCGUUGUCCGGAAUUACUGGGUGUAAAGGGAGCGUAGGCGGGGAUGCAAGUUGGGUGUCAAAACUACCGGCUCAACUGGUAGUCGCACUCAAAACUGCAGCUCUUGAGUGAAGUAGAG
rnacentral:rRNA from 1 species